rnacentral:rRNA from 1 species
CCUACGGGUGGCAGCAGUGAGGAAUAUUGGUCAAUGGGCGCAAGCCUGAACCAGCCAAGUCGCGUGAGGGAUGACGGCCCUACGGGUUGUAAACUGCUUUUGCCGGGGAGUAACGGGCGUCACGUGUGGCGCCACUGAGAGUACCCGUAGAAAAAGCAUCGGCUAAUUCCGUGCCAGCAGCGGCGGUAAUAGGGAGGAGGCGAGCUUUAUCCGGAUUUAUUGGGUUUAAAGGGUGCGUAGGCGGAUCGUUAAGUCAGUGGUCAAAUUGAGGGGCUCAACCCCUUCCCGCCAUGGAAACUGGCGCUCUUGAGUGGAAGAGAAGUAUGCGGAAUGCGUGGUGUAGCGGUGAAAUGCAUAGAUAUCACGCAGAACCCCGAUUGCGAAGGCAGCAUGCCGGCUUCCGACUGACGCUGAAGCACGAAAGCGUGGGGAUCGAACAGGAUUAGAUACCCGAGUAGUC